GGAGAGGUGGCAGAGUGGUCGAAUGCGGCGGUCUCGAAAACCGUUGACCCGGGUAACCGGGUCCGGGGGUUCGAAUCCCCCCCUCUCCG
rnacentral:tRNA from 1 species